UGACCCCAUCAUGCUGUGCCAGAGCAGCCUGAGGAGCAGUGGGGUGAGGACAUCCUGGUGACAAGCUGCGCAGCACAACGGGAAGCAAAAGUGAAACCACCGAAAGUUGGUUCACCAGAGCAGACAUAAACCUAAUGCCCUGUAUAUCAUAGUAUGACUACCGGCCAGCACGUUCUCAGCUAAGGUGAUAUUUCUGCCUGAAACUUUCGAAACAAACCACACCAUCUGGCUGUAGUGAAGAGGAGAAAUGGAGCUGUGCUCCAGCCACAGGCAGAUGACAUUGUCUGUUGCAUUUUCCUGAGUGGCCACUUGGCUUCAAUGGUACACCACAAGAUGCAGCUCAGAGAGGGGAUCAAAAACAGUAACUCCACCACAAGCCUGUGGAAGUUUCCAGAAACUUCUGGAGUACAAAUGAACCAUCACUGUGAAUCAGCUGCCAGAAAAUCUGCUGUAUCAUAUUGUUGCCACAAACAGGUGUAACCACACCAGCUUUUGAUGAAGCAGAGAAGGCAUAAGGAUGCAUAGUCAUGGAGGUGGUUGAUUAAAAGAGGACAUACCUGUGCAUCUGCAUCACCCUGGAUGUUACUGACUGUAGGGCCAGCAUGCUUUAACCUCACCAGACAGGUGAGAGGUAUCCAGUGUGGAAAUGGAUGUCUGCCAGACUGGAUUCUUCAUCAAAAUAACACACUUUUGCCUUUAACCAUUAGUAAGGAAGAAGAUUGUGCCUGUAUGUGACUUCAGAAAAGGAUUUGUCUGUGCGUGACACCUCCAGACCCAUUUUCAUCCUUGACUAUACAAUUCAGACAUAUUCUGCAAAGUCACGUGUGAAGUCCAAGAAUUGUUUAAGAAAAUUAAUUGCCACCAAAGAACAGUAACUAAAAAAAAAAUGUGUGUGCAUCUGCUCGUUGUUGGAGCUACCAAGCUACGUUUUGAAUCUCAGAUGAACCUUCUGCUACCUUGCUUGAAUACCUCACCAAGGGCACAAGAGAUAGAAAUAAUGUAAGUAUGCAGAGAGACAGAAGUACAUGCUGCAUCUCCUUCAGGAACUGAGUAAUUUAAGUGAACCUAAAGCCUUUUUUUCCCAGCAUCUUAGAAAUGUGUUGUGCUGUUCUUUUGUGAGUUUUGUGCUGUGCUGGUAUUUUAUGUUUAAUAAUGUGUGGAGUGAAAUAGGAGAAUUAGCAAGAACUUUGCUUCUGGCAAGAUUAUCUACGCUAUUUGCCUUUGGCUGGAUAUAACAAGUGUCUUUCCUGCAGGUGUCUGUGGGUGCUUUGGGGUUUGUGAUGAACUGCUGUGGGACCUGAGUUCCAGCAGGAGUCAGCUGAGCUUGGUUCCUCCAAAAGGAAGGAAUGAGAAGGGAGCAAGCCGGCACCAUUUAAACCAGCCCCAUACAACCAAAAUCCCAAGGGAAUUCCCCCAAAAUAAUGCAAAUAGUCAUCCAUCAGUCUCUCCUCCUUGGAGCUGCUGCAAGCUUCAAAGAGGAGCUUUUUCCCUUUCAGCUACUCUUAGCUUCCACCUUUGCUCCCCGAGUCCGAUAUCCCUUGGUAAGUUCCCAUCAACUCAUUAGGACUUUGCAAGCCAGUGUCUGAUACCAAGGUCACUGUACAAUAUUCAUGCAAUUUCUCUCUUGCUACAGGUUGAUAAUAGCUAUAACACAGAAAAAAAAAAAAAAAACAAACAAAAAAACCCACCAAAAAAAACCCCUUAUCCAGACUGUGGGGUUUUUGUUGGGGUUUUUUGGUGGUUUUGUGUUUGGGUUGGUUUUGGGUUGUUGUUUUUUUGGUUUUUGGGGGGGUUUGGGGGUUUUUGUUUUUUUUUCAGAAACUGGCAAGUUUUUAUAUGUGAGACCGCUACAUUGAGAACCUCGGUAUUUGAUCCCAGCUGGAAUCUAGAAGGAUGAGGUCCUCAGCAAUGAAGAGAGAUUGCAUUGCAGCAUUUCGCUGGAUUACUCUGCCACCUAUGUUGAACAGAAUGUCAAAGAUCUAAAUCUUCCAUAAACUUUUGGCCUCAUUUCAGCCAGUUUAUGCAUUAUCUGAUGUACAUUCAGCAGCAAAUUGCAUUGGAAGCUGUUCUUUUGGGUUUUCUAUUUGAGCGAUUCAAGGUGAUGUGAAUUGGAGUUCACAUCAAUGAUCUCAUCAGGUUUGCCAUAUGUAAUUAUAUGCAGACAUAUGAUGUCUUCCUCUAGAACAUAUCUGUGGAUGGUCUGCAACCAAAAUUGAAGUUUGCCUCCUACAGGCGAGGAAAGGACUUUGUACGUGGCCCUGAGAAACAGAAGCCUCAGCAGAAAUAGAGACUCCAGGGACCACGGAUCCACUCCUGUCCAGAUAAACAACCUCUCUUUCUCCCUCUUGCAAUCCCAUUGGUGAGCUUCAUUUGGCCAAGCGGGAGUUUAAGGUGUACCAUGGGGCUCAGAGGGAGAAAACGGGGAAGAAAUCCUUCCAGGAAAAAGAAAGUAAGCAAGAGGACUUCAUCCAAGGAGCUCCCUGAAUCUGGAAAGCAUAUGGUGAUUGAGUUCUGCAGCAGAUCAUCUGAAGCAUAUCAAAAUGACAUUUUUUCCAGGAAAAUCUCCAUGCCAGCAGUAUGGAACUUGAAGCUUCAACUUUAAAGGUCAUCUUGUUUUAUCAAGACAUCAUUUUGUGACAGCUUUUUCAGUAUUCUCAGUGGUACUAACAGCAUGCCGUGGCUGAUCUUUCUUCAGAAAUAGUAAAGGAAAAAAGCUCUCAAUAAGUCAUGAUACAGAUAUGGUUUGCAAAUGGAGCACAGGCCUAGAUCAAUACCCUUCUCCUUGCUGCUGUGUAGCAUAACAACUGAAAGAUGUUCUGAUAAUUGUUAUGAGGACCAGGGAUUGUUUCAUUUAUGGAAGUGGAAAGUGUUGACUGGCUAGCACUGUGGAAGUGAAACAGACUGAAAGCAUGCACAGCCAAGCUUGGAGGACUUGCAUACUGUCUCAGGAUGUAUAUGUGUGUAGCAAAUAUGAAAUCUCCAGUCCUAACUGGGGUUCUGGUGCGUAAAAAAAAAGCACCACAGUAUGAGAGUAGCUUUAAGUCUGUUUCCACUGCAUGGAAGCAGGAUCUGCUGUGCCCAUUCCAAACAGGUGUUAGUCUAAUUGGUCCUUCAUAACUUGGAUUGUACAGCUUUGCUUAGCAGCCAGGUUCACUGAUUAAGCACCUUUCAUUAGGAAACCUUUCCAAAUCUCUAAUUUAAACCUUUGCUGCAUGUGAAGCCAGGCACUUUUGUUGCCCCUUUGGUGACAAAGAUAAUAUUUCAUAAGCAUCUUCUUUGCACACCGUUUUUAAGAAUAAGACCACCAUUAUUACGUCUUGUUAUUUCAAAGCUCUACAGAUUCACCACUUUCAGUCUUAUCCUUAUGAAAAGGAAUUUUUUCUUAACUUCUUUAUAAUGCUUGUUGCUCUCCUAGAACGAAGGAUACUUUAGUGCUUUAGCCCUUUCUGUCCCUUUCUCACCAACUAGAUGUAUUUCAGGAUGACCCCUAUGUUAUUGGGCAUCAAAAGCUCUCUUAGGCAAUAACUGGGGUGUCACGAUGCUUAAUGAAUGCUGCUAAACCUUUUAGACCUACUGGGAUAAAAGCCUCCUGAGGAAUUUUAAAGUAGUUAAAGUAUGAGGAAGUCUAAUACUGCUAAUGCAAUCUGUUGAGAAAUACCGAUCUUGUCAGUAGCAUCCCUACUUUAAAACAGCUGCUUAUAGCAAAAAGAAAAAAAAAAAAAAACCCACACAAAAAACCAACCAUCACACAAUCCUGCUUAUUUUACCUCUAGCAAGCUUGCCUUAUUACUUAAUCUCCAAGUCUCCCUUUUGGGAGCAUGUUUCUGACCAAGAGCUUUUCCAGACAAGUGAUGGAUUUGUAGGUCCAGCUCUGAAAGACAGGGACAUCUUUGAGGCGAUGAUUACUAACUAGCCUUUAAAAAUUACUCCAGACCAAAUAGAUCAAGUUGGGUUUAUAUACAUUAAAAAAAAAAAUAAAAAAUCAGUGCCAUCGUGAAGGCAAGGACCACCCUCUUAUCUCCAGCAAAUAACCUUAAGGGUUUUAAAAAAUAAGGACCAAGAGGAGUCUUUUCAGCCAGACUAUUAUUACCUGAAGCCUCAAAACAGACAGAGAGCUAUUUUUCAGAAACAAAACGCAUGAUGACUUGGGAUCGGGUGAGAACACAAGAAAUCUUCAGAUUUAUCUGAGAUUAGAAGAAAAUUUUUUUAUCUCAUCCAAACCCCUCUUACAAUUAGCAUUUUCAUGUCAUCUACUGUCUCAUUUUACCUUUUGCUCCCAAAUAGCACUGGAGGGCUGGUCCUAGGGUGGCUUGCUUUGACAUCCACAAUGCCUGCCUCUCCCAUUUGAUGGAAUCUCCAUUUCAGUGAUGCAGAAAAUUAAUUAGGGCAUUUUAUUUCCUUCCUAUGUAGACCUAAAUACUGUUUCUAAGGCUGCAAAUAUGGUAACUCUCUGAAUGAACAAACGCAAAAUUAGACUCCUUUUGCAUGAUUUCUGAAGCUGAUAGCAAAAACAACCAUGAAAGAAUCUUGAUACAGAAUCUGCUGUUCUAACCAUGCUGGAAAAAGUUCUCUGUACCAAUUAGAGAGAUUACGUUGCUCCAAGUGAUGCAGAGAACUAAAUAACCAGGCAAAUAUACUAACCAGAUGUCAUUUUAUCAGACAAGAGGAAAGAGUAUUCCAUAGUGAAUGGAAGAUGGUCUGUGGAAUGCCCAUUGUCUCAUGCAUAAAUUUCCUUUUAUUCCUAUAAUCACUUCUUCUGUGGCCUUUCCCCCAGCCUUUGCUCAUUAGUACGAAUACCUCCACUGCACUCAGUGGAAGGAGCUCCUGUUUGCGUAAGGACCAGUCGUUCAGCUGGCUCAGUGGCCGCGUGCCCUGAGGAGGUGGUGGCUGUGCACCUGCGCUCACCCCAUCUGCUCUGCCAAUGCACCGGAAUGAAAUACUCAAACAUCAGUAGGGUAAAUAUGGAUUAAUGUUUUCAGCCUCACUCGUUACAAAUCUUUACAGGGCAUGUCAUGGCAAAACUGACAUGCCACUAAAGAUGCAGAAAGCAAGCAAGCCAAAUAAGAGAUUGAUAAUAACAGAGAUUACUAUCAUGGUAUCAUCGCCUGUGCUCAGAUGCUGUUGUUCAAUAACCUUUUUGAAAUAUUAGCCAUGGUUGGGUUUUUAGAAGUUAAUGUAUUUCAUCAGAGGAAAACCUUUGUGAUAUUAGUACUCCUCUACUGAAAAAUAGUUGUUUCUACCCAUAUCUAAUAAAUAUAUGUUUGAAGCUCAAGUUGAUCUAAUUUGAAUUCACGCUCAACUAUGCGUGUGAUGUUUGGAUAUAAACAUCCUUUUCAGUGUACAACACCACCCCACUGCUAUGUGCCUUUUCUCAGCCUUCGUUAUGUACCUUUAUGGUAUUUCAUCUCAGUGGCUGAUCAGAUAACUUAAAAUGCCUGCACUAAAAUCUGCUGUCUUUAAAUUGGUCUAAAGAUGUCAAAGCUUAUCUAUAUAUAGUCCAGUUAAAU